rnacentral:rRNA from 1 species
GACGAACGCUGGCGGCGUGCUUAACACAUGCAAGUCGAACGGAAAGGCCCUGCUUUUGUGGGGUGCUCGAGUGGCGAACGGGUGAGUAACACGUGAGUAACCUGCCCUUGACUUUGGGAUAACUUCAGGAAACUGGGGCUAAUACCGGAUAGGAGCUCCUGCUGCAUGGUGGGGGUUGGAAAGUUUCGGCGGUUGGGGAUGGACUCGCGGCUUAUCAGCUUGUUGGUGGGGUAGUGGCUUACCAAGGCUUUGACGGGUAGCCGGCCUGAGAGGGUGACCGGCCACAUUGGGAUUGAGGUACGGCGCAGACUCCUACGGGAGGCAGCAGUGGGAAGUAUUGCACAAUGGGCGGGAGCCUGAUGCAGAAACGCCGCGUGCGGGAUGACGGCCUUCGGGUUGUGAACCGCUUUCGCCUGUGACGAAGCGUGAGUGACGGUAAUGGGUAAAGAAGCACCGGCUAACUACGUG